GGAUUGUAGCUCAGCGGUAGAGCACUUGCCUAGCACGUGCGAGGCCCUGGGUUCAAUCCUCAGCACCA
rnacentral:tRNA from 1 species